rnacentral:misc_RNA from 1 species
AAGUCGUAACAAGGUUUCCGUAGGUGAACCUGCGGAAGGAUCAUUAACGAACUCGUCCGUUCUUCCACACCGUGAACCCUCGGGGUCGCCGUUCGCGCGGCGACCGCGUUUUUUUCACACGCUCAGCAUGUCAGGAAUGUCAUCGUUUUCUUUAAACAAGAAACAACUUUCGACAACGGAUCUCUUGGCUCUC